rnacentral:rRNA from 1 species
UUUCGCAAUGCCCGAAAGGGUGACGAAGCGACGCCGCGUGGGUGAAGAAGGCCCUCGGGUUGUAAAGCCCUGUCAGGAGUUAAGAAAUAUAGGUACGAUAAUACCGUGCCUAUUUGACAAAGGCUCCAAAGGAAGCCACGGCUAACUCUGUGCCAGCAGCCGCGGUAAUACAGAGGUGGCGAGCGUUGUUCGGAAUUAUUGGGCGUAAAGAGCACGUAGGUGGGUUUGUAAGUCAGGUGUGAAAGCCUUCUGUUCAACAGGAGAAUUGCAUCUGAAACUGCGAAUCUUGAGUGUAGGAGGGGAGAAUGGAACUUCUGGUGGAGCGGUGAAAUGCGUAGAUAUCAGAAGGAACGCCGGCGGCGAAAGCGAUUCUCUGGCCUAUUACUGACACUGAGUGUGCGAAAGCUAGGGGAGCAAACGGGAUUAGAUACCCCGGUAGUCCUAGCCGUAAACGAUGGGCACUAAGUAGAGGGGUUUU